GUCGAGAAUCUUCCGCAAUGGGCGCAAGCCUGACGGAGCGACGCCGCGUGGAGGAUGAAGGCCUUCGGGUUGUAAACUCCUGUCACGAGUUAAGAAGGGAAUGCAGCGAACAGUUGCAGUUCUUGACGUAAGCUCGAGAGGAAGCACUGGCUAACUCUGUGCCAGCAGCCGCGGUAAUACAGAGAGUGCGAACGUUGUUCGGAAUCACUGGGCUUGAAGCGCACGUAGGCGGCAUCGUAAGUGUCUGGUGAAAUCCCACGGCUCACCCGUGGAACUGCCAGGCAUACUGCGGUGCUUGAGUGUGGUAGGGGAGAGCGGAACUCCUGGUGGAGCGGUGAAAUGCGUAGAUAUCAGGAGGAACACCGGUGGCGAAGGCGGCUCUCUGGUCCACAACUGACGCUGAGGUGCGAAAGCUAGGGGAGCAAACGGGAUUAGAUACCCCAGUAGUCC
rnacentral:rRNA from 1 species